rnacentral:rRNA from 1 species
CUUAGCGGCGGACGGGUGAGUAACGCGUGGGUAACCUGCCUUACACUGGGGGAUAACACUUAGAAAUAGGUGCUAAUACCGCAUAAGCGCACGAAGCCGCAUGGAUUUGUGUGAAAAACUCCGGUGGUGUAAGAUGGACCCGCGUCUGAUUAGCUUGUUGGCGGGGUAACGGCCCACCAAGGCGACGAUCAGUAGCCGGCCUGAGAGGGUGGACGGCCACAUUGGGACUGAGACACGGCCCAAACUCCUACGGGAGGCAGCAG